rnacentral:lncRNA from 1 species
GAUUUCUUUCUCUCUUCUUCUGAGUUUUUCUCUCUGUGCCUAAACUCAUCCCUGUGCUAAGAUUAAAAAAACCACUACCUCUCCAUAUGCCAUCUACUAUCGGAGAUGCCAAUCCAGAGUAAUGCCUGAAGAUGCCUUAAUUCUGGAUUCACGAAGUUCUACCACGGAUUGGGAUCGUAACCACCUACAGCAAUCUAACUUCUUUAAGGUCAUAUUGAGCGAUCAUCUG